UAGGACAUUAACAUGAAUGGGGCCUGUGCAGAUCCCCCAUUUUGAGAUUCUGCUGGUGUAUCAGUACCUCUGUGAACUCGGGCUGAGCUACAUUCAUAACGCUACCAACAAUGGCGCAGAAGAGCUUUUUUUAAUACAAGCUUGGACCUCAUUCACUCUAAUGAUCUUAGGGGACCACAGGGGUGCCGGCUUCACUUCUGCCCAAAUACAUGUAAUGAAUAUGAAGGUAUUCCCGGAUGUUAUCAUGGACUCUCAUGUGUUCCUUUAACAUGUCUUUCCUGGCAAAGGAUUUCCCGCACUGGUCACAGCCGUGGCUCUUCACCCCUGAAAGAAAAGCUUUAUCAGUAGAUGACGGGACACCAUGUUUCCUAUACUGUUGAAAAUCCUGCCACAAACCUCACAUGGAUGAAUGUACCUGCAGAGAGAAACAAGGAGACAGCGUCAGAGAAACCUAAGCAUUAAAGGGGUACUCCACUGGAAAAAAAAAAAAUCUAAA